AAUCAAUGAGCUUGUAAAAGCAUAUGUUUUGAAAACAUAAGAAAAAAUUUUUUAUUUUAUUGAUUU